AAGGUUUCCGUAGGUGAACCUGCGGAA
rnacentral:ncRNA from 11 species